rnacentral:rRNA from 1 species
UGGGAAUUUUGGACAAUGGGCGCAAGCCUGAUCCAGCCAUGCCGCGUGCGGGAAGAAGGCCUUCGGGUUGUAAACCGCUUUUGUCAGGGAAGAAAUCUUCUGAGUUAAUACCUCGGGAGGAUGACGGUACCUGAAGAAUAAGCACCGGCUAACUACGUGCCAGCAGCCGCGGUAAUACGUAGGGUGCAAGCGUUAAUCGGAAUUACUGGGCGUAAAGCGUGCGCAGGCGGUUUUGUAAGACAGAGGUGAAAUCCCCGGGCUCAACCUGGGAACUGCCUUUGUGACUGCAAGGCUUGAGUGCGGCAGAGGGGGAUGGAAUUCCGCGUGUAGCAGUGAAAUGCGUAGAUAUGCGGAGGAAACACCGAUGGCGAAGGCAAUCCCCUGGGCCUGCACUGACGCUCAUGCACGAAAGCGUGGGGAGCAAACAGGAUUAGAUAGCCCUGGUAGUCCACGCCCUAAAACGAUGUCAACUGGUUGUUGGGAAGGUUCCUUCUCAGUAACGUAGCUAACGCGUGAAGUUGACCGCCUGGGGAGUACGGCCGCAAGGUUG